rnacentral:rRNA from 1 species
UUUUCCUACGGGAGGCAGCAGUGAGGAAUAUUGGUCAAUGGGCGCAAGCCUGAACCAGCCAAGUCGCGUGAGGGAAGACGGCCCUACGGGUUGUAAACCUCUUUUGCCGGGGAGCAAGCCUGAGCACGUGUGCCCAGGCGGAGAGUACCCGGAGAAAAAGCAUCGGCUAACUCCGUGCCAGCAGCCGCGGUAAUACGGAGGAUGCGAGCGUUAUCCGGAUUUAUUGGGUUUAAAGAGUGCGUAGGCGGAAUGCCAAGUCAGCGGUAAAAUCGCGGGGCUCAACCUCGCUCCGCCGUUGAAACUGG